rnacentral:tRNA from 1 species
CAGGGAGACAAACCUGAUCGUGAUGUCUGAGUAAAUUUAAUCUCAGGCCAUGAUCCUGUCACCUUAGGUCGAUCGGUACCUCAAGGAGCGGAUGGGAGAAGCUGAGCAAUCAGUGGGGACCCAAUUUGCUUUUUCAGUUUCUAAACGUUGUCUCGGUCACCCCGUAGCUCCUGGGCCAUUAGCUCAGGUGGUUAGAGCGCACCCCUGAUAAGGGUGAGGUCCCUGGUUCAAGUCCAGGAUGGCCCAUUCGUGUUUGGGGGUUUAGCUCAGUUGGUAGAGCGCCUGCUUUGCAAGCAGGAUGUCAGCGGUUCGAGUCCGCUAACCUCCAUAUCAACAGAACCCUACAAGCGUAAGCAAGUGAGCUGGUGGGAGUGAACGAGAGAAGGGUUAACAACGAGGUUAAUGAGAGUCGCUGAGAAGACUUCAGCCUUCAGGAUUUUAGCGCAGAGAUGUGUGAGUAACGCGUCUUAGACGUGUUACUGAAAAGAUCUUGAAUGCUGGACUCACGCCUGUUGGCUACGGUUGACAGGUGAGAUGUACAGCGUAGAACCUUGACAACUGCAUAGGUAAGUCUGAAAAGAAAGCAUCUCAUGGAUGUGAUUCUUGGAUGGGGAAGCCCAUUGAAGAAUCAGAAUUCUAUUGAGUUUAGAGCCGAGACUUUUCAGUGUUCUUCCAAGUAUUGGCUUAUCCAGCCAAAGCGCGGGAGUUUGAUUUUUGUAUUCAAACCACAAGCUGUUGGCAGCCAUCCAUUCGUUGUUAUCGACGAGGGAUGAUGUGUCAGCGGUGAGCAGGUGAAUCGAAAAGAAGCGGCCUCAACAGCCGUAAGACACUGGAAAAGAUAUU